ACGGGAGGCAGCAGUGAGGAAUAUUGGUCAAUGGUCGGAAGACUGAACCAGCCAAGUAGCGUGAGGGAUGACGGCCCUAUGGGUUGUAAACCUCUUUUGUCAGGGAAUAAAGUCAGGGACGUGUCCCUGUUUGUAUGUACCUGAAGAAUAAGGACCGGCUAAUUCCGUGCCAGCAGCCGCGGUAAUACGGAAGGUCCGGGCGUUAUCCGGAUUUAUUGGGUUUAAAGGGAGCGUAGGCCGCCUUUUAAGCAUGCUGUGAAAUGUAGGCGCUCAACGUCUGCACUGCAGCGUGAACUGGAGGGCUUGAGUGCGCGGGAAGUAGGCGGAAUUCGUGGUGUAGCGGUGAAAUGCUUAGAUAUCACGAAGAACUCCGAUUGCGAAGGCAGCUUACUGUAGCGUAACUGACGCUGAAGCUCGAAAGUGCGGGUAUCGAACAGGAUUAGAUACCCUGGUA
rnacentral:rRNA from 1 species